CUCAGAGUGGAUUGACAGGCGGAAGAGCUGGUUAGUUUUCAUCCUGACAGUCAAGCAGCACGUCAGUUUCAGGUUGGGGUUGUUAUCGCUUUGUUUAAACAGGUGAAACCCCGUGUUUUUGAAAGGUAUUUCCGAUUUCAGCCUGAGGGUGGCGCUACAGACCCUCCUGAAAGAAUACACAGAAGUCAGCAAGUCACCUAAAGAGAACAAGAUGUUCAGCGUACUUCAGCCAGCCAAGAUCAGGCCCCGAAGAAAGGCAAGAAAAUAUCUUUACGCCAUAGGAGGGUACACUCGUCUGCAAGGGGGGCGCUGGAGUGACAGCAGGGCACUGAGCUGCGUGGAGCACUUAGAUUCCUUCAGCCAGUACUGGACCACAGUGUCCCCUCUGCACCAGGCCCGCAGCGGGCUCGGGGUGGCAGUGCUGGGGGGCAUGAUAUACGUGGGCUGGUCCAUUUCACAAAUACAUCAACGGAAGAGAAAGAGAAGAGGCUCUGUAGCGGAUGCUAGCAUUGGUCACAACUUGUUCAAAAGGUUGCAAUGUAAUUUACUACUAAGAAUGCACAGAAGUGUGCUGAUUGACAGCGAACUGAAAACAACGGGCCAUAAAACUUGGGGGGUAGAUUCAGCUGAAACAAACAGAAGCACUUGCUUAAUUUCUGGCGGCACGCUAUUAAAUUUCCAGAUAUAAAAGGGCACCCGACACCCCCCCCCUUGCACCAGCAAAAACAUCACAAACUGCACAGUCUGUUAGCUCUUAGUAUAAAGUAAAACACAUGUAUAUAGUGUGGCACUGGAGUUUGCUUAAAUGCUGCUGGAUAACAGGGAACUGAUGUGGAUGCUGUGCUUUUCAGUUACGCAGAUGCAUUUGCUAAGAAAGAGAAGAUAGAGAAUAUAACUAAAUAACAGGGUUUGUGAAUAGAGCUCAAAGUGUUUACAUGAGGGAAGAGUGAUAAAUGCAUUCCUGGUUAGUCAGACAUUCACAGUGAUUAGAUGUGUACAGAGUUUCUUUUAUUGUUUGCUGUGUGAUAAAUAACUACUCACUGUACACAGUACAGGAUGUCUAUACAUCACGUUCAAGCAGUGUCCCAUGGGUCACAGUGUUGCGCAUUCAUGUCAUCUAUUCCUAAUGUAACCUCCAGCAGCUUGGUCUUGUGCAACCACCAGCAAUUACUGUAGAAAAGGUCAUUUCUGUAUCUGAGGCAGAUGCUGUUAAUUCACAAAACCUGUAAGGAGUGUUUUCAUGACUGCUCUGCAAAGGACAGUUUUUUUAUUGAAAUCAGGUUUUCAGAGCACAGGAGGACCUGUUUUCAAGUUAGAAUCUGUCAAAUGUUUAUAAAUCCUCUUUAAAAAGAAAAGAAACACAACUGAAAGUGUUAUUUUGUGAACAGGCCCAGGUAUUAUGCAAGGAAAAGAAACAUUAGUCUGGCCCUCCAUUGAGGUGAGCCUGUGGUUGCAUGCAGUUUGAACAUUUUUAUGGUAACACCCCAAACUUCACUUUGAAUCUUAGCUUUGCAGUUUACGGCAUGGGAAUAAUCAACCUUUAUUUUUUUUAUCAGUAUUUCCUUAUUGACUCCCACCUUUUCACUGAAGGACCAUGCUUGCUUUAUGAAUACACUCUUUAAGGUUAUAAGUAGGGGUUUAAAUCAAUUUGAGAGUUAUCUUCCAAGUUAGUUUUACUCGAUUCAAUUAUUCAUCAACCAGUUAAUGAAAUCAAAUGCAACAAACAUGAAAUAUAAAAGACAUCCUUCUCGCGAUAUACCUUAAAUCAGCUUAAAAUUGAAGAAUGUAUUUUACUGAAACAGUCGCAUGGUAUUUAUAAAGAUUAAUCAAGCAUUCACGUUAAAGCCCAGGUUAGUUAGAUUAGGGAUUCCCACACACAUACAAAAUGUUUUCUCCCAAAAGACCCAGACAAAGAAAUGCCACUGAACAGAACGAACACAGUAACACAAAGCAGUAACCAAUGCAGUAGCCAACAUAGUUUGGAACCAGAGUUAGAGGACACUUUAUUAUUUUAUUUUUAUUUUUAAAAUUAAAAAAAAAUAAUUAUCUGUCUAUGUAGUUUUGAAACAA